rnacentral:rRNA from 1 species
GUCCUAGCCGUAAACGAUGAACACUAGGCGUAGUCGGUAUCGACCCCGGCUGUGCCGUAGCUAACGCAUUAAGUGUUCCGCCUGGGGAGUACGGCCGCAAGGCUAAAACUCAAAGGAAUUGACGGGGGCCCGCACAAGCAGCGGAGCGUGUGGUUUAAUUCGUCGCAACGCGAAGAACCUUACCAGGGCUUGACAUGUGGCGGAAAACGGCGGAAACGUCGUCCUCCCGCAAGGGAUCGUCAUGCAGGUGUUGCAUGGCUGUCGU